UGAGGAAUAUUGGUCAAUGGACGAGAGUCUGAACCAGCCAAGUAGCGUGAAGGAUGAAGGUCCUACGGAUUGUAAACUUCUUUUAUAAGGGAAUAAACCCUCCCACGUGUGGGAGCUUGUAUGUACCUUAUGAAUAAGCAUCGGCUAACUCCGUGCCAGCAGCCGCGGUAAUACGGAGGAUGCGAGCGUUAUCCGGAUUUAUUGGGUUUAAAGGGAGCGCAGACGGGUCGUUAAGUCAGCUGUGAAAGUUUGGGGCUCAACCUUGAAAUUGCAGUUGAUACUGGCGUCCUUGAGUGCGGUUGAGGUGUGCGGAAUUCGUGGUGUAGCGGUGAAAUGCUUAGAUAUCACGAAGAACUCCGAUUGCGAAGGCAGCACACUAAGCCGUAACUGACGUUCAUGCUCGAAAGUGUGGGUAUCAAACAGGAUUAGAUACCCUGGUAGUCCACACGGUAAACGAUGGAUACUCGCUGUUGGCGAUAUACUGUCAGCGGCCAAGCGAAAGCAUUAAGUAUCCCACCUGGGGAGUACGCCGGCAACGGUGAAACUCAAAGGAAUUGACGGGGGCCCGCACAAGCGGAGGAACAUGUGGUUUAAUUCGAUGAUACGCGAGGAACCUUACCCGGGCUUAAAUUGCAGACGAAUUACGAGGAAACUUGUAAGCCGCAAGGCGUCUGUGAAGGUGCUGCAUGGUUGUCGUCAGCUCGUGCCGUGAGGUGUCGGCUUAAGUGCCAUAACGAGCGCAACCCUCGUGGCCAGUUACUAACAGGUUAAGCUGAGGACUCUGGCCAGACUGCCAUCGUAAGAUGUGAGGAAGGUGGGGAUGACGUCAAAUCAGCACGGCCCUUACGUCCGGGGCUACACACGUGUUACAAUGGGAGGUACAGAAGGCCGCUACCCGGCAACAGGAUGCCAAUCCCCAAAACCUCUCUCAGUUCGGACUGGAGUCUGCAACCCGACUCCACGAAGCUGGAUUCGCUAGUAAUCGCGCAUCAGCCACGGCGCGGUGAAUACGUUCCC
rnacentral:rRNA from 1 species